UACAGAGGGUGCGAGCGUUGUCCGGAAUCACUGGGCGUAAAGGGCGCGUAGGUGGUGGCUUAAGCGUGCGGUGAAAGCUCGGGGCUCAACUCCGAGUCGGCCGUGCGAACUGGGCUCACUGGAGCAUAGUAGAGGCAGGUGGAAUUCCGGGUGUAGCGGUGGAAUGCGUAGAGAGUCCGGAGGAAGACCGGUGGCGAAGGCGGUCUGCUGGGCAGUUUCUGACACUGAGGCGCGACAGCGUGGGGAGCAAA
rnacentral:rRNA from 1 species